UCAUUCGGAUUCGCCAUCAUACGUCCAACCGUGCAUUUGAUAUGCAUAUAUAUGCAUCACGAGCCACGGUUGGGCUGUAUGAUGGCGAUACUGAUUGG
rfam:Triticum urartu cultivar G1812 contig458887, whole genome shotgun sequence.